UACAGAGGUGCCAAGCGUUAGGCGGAAUCACUGGGCUUAAAGCGUGUGUAGGCGGAUCGUUAAGUACCUUGUGAAAUCCCACGGCUCAACCGUGGAACUGCUGGGUAUACUGGCGGUCUUGAGCCGCCUAGGGGCAACUGGAACAAGCGGUGGAGCGGUGAAAUGCGUAGAUAUCGCUUGGAACGCCACCGGUGAAAACAGGUUGCUGGGGGUGUGCUGACGCUGAGACACGAAAGCCAGGGGAGCGAACGGG
rnacentral:rRNA from 1 species